UGCAACACCAAGAAACGGAAACUAGUGUGAAGUAAACGAAGUACAUAGUUGCCAAGUACGUGCCACUGCAGUCCAUGCUGCAGUCAUCAUGGGCUGCCAUUGACAAUGCCUGCUGGUAUAGCAGCUUUUCUUUGCUGCUCCACUGGAUCCACAUGCUGCUGCCAGUCGACACUGCCGUCAUUGUCACUGCUCCUGCCUGAUCAUGUUGCAGCCAUUGGGUCAUACGAAUAAAACAAAGAAUAUGCUUUAUACUCAAAAUUUUGGUGAACAUUGUCAUGUUCGCAAGAAUAAAGCGAAUCAGAUAAUAUGCUUCA